GAUGAACGCUAGCGGGAGGCCUAACACAUGCAAGCCGAGCGGUAUUGUUUCUUCGGAAAUGAGAGAGCGGCGUACGGGUGCGUAACACGUGUGCAACCUGCCUUUAUCUGGGGGAUAGCCUUUCGAAAGGAAGAUUAAUACUCCAUAACAUAUUGAACGGCAUCGUUUAAUAUUGAAAGCUCCGGCGGAUAGAGAUGGGCACGCGCAAGAUUAGCUAGUUGGUGAGGUAACGGCUCACCAAGGCGAUGAUCUUUAGGGGGCCUGAGAGGGUGAUCCCCCACACUGGUACUGAGACACGGACCAGACUCCUACGGGAGGCAGCAGUGAGGAAUAUUGGUCAAUGGGUGCAAGCCUGAACCAGCCAUCCCGCGUGAGGGACGACUGCCCUAUGGGUUGUAAACUUCUUUUGUAUAGGGAUAAACCUACCCUCGAGAGGGUAGCUGAAGGCACUAUACGAAUAAGCACCGGCUAACUCCGUGCCAGCAGCCGCCGUAAAAC
rnacentral:rRNA from 1 species